rnacentral:rRNA from 1 species
GAUGAACGCUGGCGGCGUGCCUAAUACAUGCCAGUCGAGCGAACAGAUGAGGAGCUUGCUCCUCUGACGUUAGCGGCGGACGGGUGAGUAACACGUGGAUAACCUACCUAUAAGACUGGGAUAACUUCGGGAAACCGGAGCUAAUACCGGAUAAUAUAUUGAACCGCAUGGUUCAAUAGUGAAAGACGGUUUUGCUGUCACUUAUAGAUGGAUCCGCGCCGCAUUAGCUAGUUGGUAAGGUAACGGCUUACCAAGGCGACGAUGCGUAGCCGACCUGAGAGGGUGAUCGGCCACACUGGAACUGAGACACGGUCCAGACUCCUACGGGAGGCAGCAGUAGGGAAUCUUCCGCAAUGGGCGAAAGCCUGACGGAGCAACGCCGCGUGAGUGAUGAAGGUCUUCGGAUCGUAAAACUCUGUUAUUAGGGAAGAACAAAUGUGUAAGUAACUAUGCACGUCUUGACGGUACCUAACCAGAAAGCCACGGCUAACUACGUG